ensembl:piRNA 21ur-3860 ncRNA
UAGUUUCAUAAUUUUUCUGAC